rnacentral:rRNA from 1 species
UGGGGAAUACUGGACAAUGAGUUCACGCUUGAUCCGGCAAUGUUGACUCAAUGAAUUGAAAGUAAUGAGCUGUAAAGUUUAUAAAGUUGAAUUAAUUACAUUGAAAAUUUCAAUAAAGCCCCGACUAACUUCGUGCCAGCAGUCGCGGUAAUACGGAGGGGGCUAGCGUUGUUCGGAAUUACUGGGCGUAAAGGGCGCGUAGGCGGAUUAGUAAGUUGGGAGUGAAAGCCCGGGGCUUAACCUCGGAACUGCUUUCAAAACUGCUAGUCUUGAGUGAAGUAGGGGAUGAUGGAAUUCCUAGUGUAGAGGUGAAAUGCUUAGAUAUUAGGAGGAACACCGGUGGCGAAGGCGGUCAUCUGGACUUCAACUGACGCUGAGGCGCGAAAGCGUGGGGAGCAAACA